AAAUAGUGUGACUUCCACACCCACACACAUCGUUUAACACUCGUACAAGCACCGGAUAAACAUGGUUAACAGUCCGGAAAACAUUGUUAAUAUAUUUGAUAACAUUUCGAAUUCAAAUUUUAGUUGUCAGAAUCUUUUCUUCUUUUUUACAAUUUAACCACUAUUUUAGAUUAAGGGAAGUACUGGCACUCACAAUUACGUUAAACC
rnacentral:lncRNA from 1 species